AAUGAACGCUGGCGGCAUGCCUAACACAUGCAAGUCGAACGAGACCUUCGGGUCUAGUGGCGCACGGGUGCGUAACGCGUGGGAAUCUGCCCUUGGGUUCGGAAUAACAGUUAGAAAUGACUGCUAAUACCGGAUGAUGUCGUAAGACCAAAGAUUUAUCGCCCAAGGAUGAGCCCGCGUAGGAUUAGCUAGUUGGUGAGGUAAAAGCUCACCAAGGCGACGAUCCUUAGCUGGUCUGAGAGGACGAUCAGCCACACUGGGACUGAGACACGGCCCAGACUCCUACGGGAGGCAGCAGUGGGGAAUAUUGGACAAUGGGCGAAAGCCUGAUCCAGCAAUGCCGCGUGAGUGAUGAAGGCCUUAGGGUUGUAAAGCUCUUUUACCCGGGAUGAUAAUGACAGUACCGGGAGAAUAAGCUCCGGCUAACUUCGUGCCAGCAGCCGCGGUAAGAC
rnacentral:rRNA from 1 species